rnacentral:rRNA from 1 species
CGACCGCUGGCGGCGUGCCUAAUACAUGCAAGUCGAACGCACUCUCGUUUAGAUUGCCGGAGUUUGCUCCUGCUUGAUAAACAUUUGAGUGAGUGGCGGACGGGUGAGUAACACGUGGGUAACCUGCCCUAAAGUGGGGGAUAACAUUUGGAAACAGAUGCUAAUACCGCAUAAAACCUAACACCGCAUGGUGUAGGGUUGAAAGAUGGUUUCGGCUAUCACUUUAGGAUGGACCCGCGGUGCAUUAGUUAGUUGGUGAGGUAAAGGCUCACCAAGACCGUGAUGCAUAGCCGACCUGAGAGGGUAAUCGGCCACACUGGGACUGAGACACGGCCCAGACUCCUACGGGAGGCAGCAGUAGGGAAUCUUCCACAAUGGACGAAAGUCUGAUGGAGCAACGCCGCGUGAGUGAAGAAGGUUUUCGGAUCGUAAAACUCUGUUGUUGGAGAAGAAUGUAUCUGAUAGUAACUGAUCAGGUAGUGACGGUAUCCAACCAGAAAGCCACGGCUAACUACGUG